rnacentral:rRNA from 1 species
GAUGAACGCUAGCGACAGGCCUAACACAUGCAAGUCGAGGGGCAGCGCGGGGAGUAAUCUCUGGCGGCGACCGGCGCACGGGUGAGUAACACGUAUGCAACCUGCCUUCAACUGUGGGAUAACCCGAAGAAAUUCGGGCUAAUACCGCAUAAUACGAUUGUAUCGCAUGAUACGAUUGUUAAAGAUUUAUUGGUUGAAGAUGGGCAUGCGUCUGAUUAGAUUGUUGGUGAGGUAACGGCUCACCAAGUCAUCGAUCAGUCGGGGUUCUGAGAGGAAGGUCCCCCACACUGGUACUGAGACACGGACCAGACUCCUACGGGAGGCAGCAGUGAGGAAUAUUGGUCAAUGGACGAGAGUCUGAACCAGCCAAGUCGCGUGAAGGAAGACGGCGCUAUGCGUUGUAAACUUCUUUUGUAGAGGAAUAAAAAGGGGUACGUGUACCCUGUUGUAUGUACUUUACGAAUAAGCAUCGGCUAACUCCGUGCCAGCAGCCGCGGUAAUACGGAGGAUGCGAGCGUUAUCCGGAUUUAUUGGGUUUAAAGGGUGCGUAGGCGGGAUAUCCAGUCAGCGGUGAAGUUUUACGGCUCAACCGUGAGCGUGCCGUUGAAACUGAUAUUCUUGAGUACAGACGAGGCAGGCGGAAUGUGUAGUGUAGCGGUGAAAUGCAUAGAUAUUACACAGAACACCGAUUGCGAAGGCAGCUUGCUGGUAUGUCACUGACGCUGAUGCACGAAGGUGUGGGGAUCAAACAGGAUUAGAUACCCUGGUAGUCCACACAGUAAACGAUGAUUACUAGUUGUAUGCGAUACACAGUAUGCGACCCAGCGAAAGCGUUAAGUAAUCCACCUGGGGAGUACGCCGGCAACGGUGAAACUCAAAGGAAUUGACGGGGGCCCGCACAAGCGGAGGAACAUGUGG